rnacentral:rRNA from 1 species
UAGGGAAUCUUCGGCAAUGGGGGGAACCCUGACCGAGCAACGCCGCGUGAGUGAAGAAGGUUUUCGGAUCGUAAAGCUCUGUUGUUAAGGAAGAACGUGUGUGAGAGUGGAAAGUUCACACAGUGACGGUACUUAACCAGAAAGGGACGGCUAACUACGUGCCAGCAGCCGCGGUAAUACGUAGGUCCCGAGCGUUGUCCGGAUUUAUUGGGCGUAAAGCGAGCGCAGGCGGUUAGAUAAGUCUGAAGUGAAAGGCAGUGGCUCAACCAUUGUAGGCUUUGGAAACUGUUUAACUUGAGUGCAGAAGGGGAGAGUGGAAUUCCAUGUGUAGCGGGGAAAAAGGGUAGAUAUAUGGAGGAACACCGGUGGCGAAAGCGGCUCUCUGGUCUGUAACUGACGCUGAGGCUCGAAAGCGUGGGGAGCGAACAGGAUUAGAUACCCUGGUAGUCCACGCCGUAAACGAUGAGUGCUAGGUGUUAGGUCCUUUCCGGGACUUAGUGCCGCAGCUAACGCAUUAAGCACUCCGCCUGGGGAGUACGACCGCAAGGUU